CUGAGGAGAGAGGGGGGGAGGGGGAGAGCCCUGAGCGGUGUCAGGCGGUACCUGCGCUGGAAGUCCAGGGCGAAGGGCUUCAGGCAUUAAUAACAGACUUGAUGAGAGAUAUCUAGCAACCGAGGACCUCAGAGUGAAAGAGUGAGGAAUCUGACAACCUUUGGAAAGGCAUGUCUUAAUUUUCCAUGAAGACGGCAACAUGCAAAUAGGCAGUAGCCAGCUAAACUGCCCCUCUCCCACCUUGUGAAGCCUUUCAGAGGACCCUGGAGGAACAGAUUGUCAUUUUGUCUUCAGACUCGUUCACCAUCUAACCUCUCUAUUUAGACUGCCAAAUGAUGUCAAAGACAUCCUGUCAAAAGCCAAGAACUAUGAACACACAUUAAAUCUGAUGAAGUGAGAAGACUCUCAUUUUGAUAAUCCUUUUAUCUUCACUCUCCAACUAAAGUUAAGGAAGAAAGAACUAUUGACAUUCAAUAAAGAAUGAUGGGAACCCCUGCUUUCACUUGCUCUGACCCCACAUAGGAAGAGAAGUAAGUCAAAGAAAGUCAUAAUGACACAUCGUUUUCAUUACUAUGUGAUAUUUCAAAGUUAAAGGAGAGAGGUAAUACAGAGGGUAUACUCUCUCUUAGACUCAUAUCUUUUCACAAGGUUCCCAACCAGGAUAUGGUUAUAGAAGGACUAUCCUCUCUUCUAGGGACCACAUUGUAUUCGUAGGAAAAUUCUAGUAGACGUUGACAUUGUGAUUCUGUGUAUUUAAGUGUUGUAGCUUUGUUUUAGGCAUAAGUAAUUGAAUCUGGCUGUAACCCAGCCUGUAUCAGAUUACUUCACUGGAGUUGAGUGGGUUUAGAACUCACCUCUCCUCUCUUUGGGUUCUAUGGUGGGAGCUGCACACUCUUGUUGAGACAAAGAAGAUGACCUAAGAUACGUUUCUAAGUUGUGAGUUAUUUUUACGCAACCUUGUGAUAAGGAGUAUGAUCUUUACAAAAGGAGCAAUUGUCUUUAUUAAAUAGGUGUCUAAGAGUAUUAUUGGAGAAGGGUGUCUUUGGUGACUGUAUUGUUGGUUAUAUCUGACUCUAAUUCACGGGAUAUUGCUUUGAGAAAACUAUUGCUAAUAGUCCCUAGACUAUCAGUGACAUUUCCUGUGUUACUAAUCAUAGAAAAGCUGCCAUAAUUUCAAUGAACACAUCUUCCUUGACUUAUGAUAGGGUUAUGUCCUGAUAAAACCCUGAUAAAUGUUGUAAGUUGAAAAUAUCAUUAGUUGAAAAUGCAUUUAAUAUACCUAACCUACUGAACAGCAUAGCUUAGCCUAGUCUUUUGAAUGUGCUCAGAACACUUACAUUAGCCUGCAGUUGGGCAAAAUCAUCUAAUGCAACGCCUAUUUUAUAAUUAAAUGUUGAGUAUUUCAUGUAAUUUAUUGGAUGUUGUGUUGAAAGUGAAAAACAGAAUAGUUGUGUGGGUGCAACGUGGUUGUAAAUGUAUCAGUUGUUUACCCUCAUGAUCCCAUGGCUGACAGAGCUCCGACUGCCAUUGCCGAGCAUCACUAGAAAGGAUUGGAUUGCAUGUUACUAGCCUGGGAAAAGAUCAAAAUUCAAAAUUCAAAAUAAAGUUUCUACUAAAUGUGUAUCACUUUCACACUAUCAUAAAGCUGAAAAAUCAUAAGUCAAACCAUUGUAAGUUGGGGACCAUCUGUACAGUAAGUGGCAUAUAACUAACAUUCUUGUUUAUAUGUGAAUUUCACAUGUUUUAUCUUUUGGCUUAUUGGACAUAGGUCAGUGAAAAGCAUUGUUAGCACUAGGGAGUUUUCCACAUGUUAUGUCUUUAAACUCAAUGAAUCACUGUAACAUCCAAACUGGCAUUGCACUAUUUAUACUGUCUAAUCAGGAAUAUAAUUUCACAACAUUGAAUUUGCAGCACAACCAUAGCAUUGCAAUUUAGCACACAUUUUGUUAAUGUGCUUUGUAUCCCAUUAAAGUCUCAUCUUCACAGCCCAGUGCCAUAUGUUACCGGUCUAGAGUAAACCUCUUAAGCAAGAGGAAAUAAAUGGGAGUAAAAUUACAAUGUGACAUAUGCUAUUGGUUACCUACCAACAACCAGUCCUCUCUUCUUCCCUGAUCAAACCCCAAUUUUGUUCAAGUUUGGGAAAAAUGUGCUCAGGAAAGAUGAGUUCACUUCUAGCUCAGGUAUGAAAUAUGAAGGAUAUCGCCAUAGUAUCAUUCCCCUUUCAACCAGAGAUUCAUUUGGGAUUUGUAUGUAACCAAGUUUUGGCCAAGAGGACAUGAAAAAAAGUCUGUUGCAAGGCUUCUGGAAAAAGUAUUUUUCCUGAUAAAAGAAAUACGCGUUAAGGAGAAAACUCCUCAGUUCCCUUUCCUUUCCAGCCUUUGGAUGUUGUUAUGAGGAUUUAAUGCAUAGAGUUACUGCUGCCUAAGGGGUUGGGGAUGAGGAAGUUUGUGACAGGCAGAGCAAGGCAAGCCAGAGGUUAGAACGAGCUUAGGUACUUUAAGGCAUUGUUAGGCUGCUGAGCCAAUGCUUAGAUCUGUUUCUCGCUGGACUUCCUCCUGAAUGUCAUAAUAAAUGUCCUUAUUUUUUAAGCCACGUUUAGCAGGGUCUUCUGUUACUUACAGACAAAAGCAUUCCAGCUGAUAAAAGAAGUUAGUUAAAAGAAUGCAGUUCGUACCAUUGUGGUUGCUUUUCUCACAGGCAAAGGUAAGGCAAAGAGAAGAAAGAGCAUUUCUGGCUUACUAAUGAGCUUUUUGUAGAUCUGGUAGUUUACAGCUUGAAAUGUAUUCCCCCCACAGAAAAUGUUAUAAAUGGUGUCCAGGUUCCCAAGGUAAACCCAUAAGGCCUAUUUAAUCCAAUAAUACCACAAAAUCUGUAUGGUCUAGGAGAAUUGAAUCACCUUGAAAAACAAUGUUUCCUUUGGGAUGAAAAUGUAUUCAAGAAAAAAAAAUGAAUUCAGAGAUCCAGCUUGGCAAACAGAAAAUAAUUACCCCAACAUCAACAAAACUGAGGACUUCUCUUCGUUAUGGAUAGAGUAGUGGGAAGAUUUAUUAACCCAUAUCCCAAAAGGCAGUGGUAAUACCUGUUGCCUGAGAGUUAG